GGGUAGGGAGACUGAACCAAGGAGACAGGAGAUGAAGAUUCCUCCAUGAACCAUUACAUUGGCCACAGAGAUGGGUCCAUGACAAAAUUUGUGUCAACACUUGUCAAUCCUAGGGGUUUUCUUUUGAGUUCUCAGGGGAGUAGACUCCCUGUGUAUCACUGACCAUGAAGCUGAACACAUGCAGUCCCAGGAGCUGCUGGCAGCCACGUGCCCACCAACAAUCAAGAGCUAAGAAUUGGGCAACAUCAUGGAAGGAAGACUGUGGGGAAAAAGAAACUGAGUCCCUGCUGAGGCUUGUUGCUUACCUGAGGCCAACCAUGCCCUUGAACUCUUCUCUUUUGUGAAGAGAUACAUUCUCUUUACUUUUAAAAAUUCAUUUUAUUGAAUCUUCUCUUCCUUGCAACCUGUAAAUAUAUUCAUAUUACAAAGUCCCAAA
rnacentral:lncRNA from 1 species